rnacentral:rRNA from 1 species
GACGAACGCUGGCGGCGUGCCUAAUACAUGCAAGUCGAACGAACCGCGACUAGGUGCUUGCACUUGGUCAAGGUGAGUGGCGAACGGGUGAGUAACACGUGGGUAACCUACCUCAUAGUGGGGGAUAACAGUCGGAAACGACUGCUAAUACCGCAUAGGACAUAGGAUCACAUGAUCCAGUGAGGAAAGGUGGCGCAAGCUAUCGCUAAGAGAUGGACCCGCGGUGCAUUAGCUAGUUGGUAGGGUAAAGGCCUACCAAGGCGAUGAUGCAUAGCCGACCUGAGAGGGUGAUCGGCCACAUUGGGACUGAGACACGGCCCAAACUCCUACGGGAGGCAGCAGUAGAGAAUCUUCCGCAAUGGACGCAAGUCUGACGGAGCAACGCCGCGUGAGUGAAGAAGGUCUUCGGAUCGUAAAGCUCUGUUGUUAGAGAAGAACAGCGCAUAGAGUAACUGUUAUGCGUGUGACGGUAUCUAACCAGAAAGCCACGGCUAACUACGUG